GCCUCCUCUCCGAUCCUAGUAUCGGACAAAGUAGUAAUUCACUCUCCUCUUCUUCCUGAGAAUUGAGCUGAUCAUAGUAGCACGUUUCUUAGCCUUUCUGUUCUCUUCACUGGAAAAAAGGGGGUUGUGACAUCGCCCCCUCCUAGGUUACCCGGAUGAUUCGAGAGCUAACUCAGGCCAAGUGCUUAGCUCACUCGGCUCACGGCCCCUUCCCGGUGUAGACCUGCUGACAAUUCCAGCCCUUCUCACACCAUUUCAUCAUUGAGCUCUUUUUCCCCUUGGGAACUUCAGAUACCGAAGCGCUUACCACGUGCCUUGGGAAGAUUCUGCGCUCAGGUUAGGGGCCUAGGGAACUGUUGAGCGGCAAGGCUGGUGACACUACACUUGGGAGGCACAGAGCAGACAGAAGAAUUUCGAAAGACGGCGGUAGCACCUGCUGGCCUCCCUCGUUCCCUGCUGCCCUACAGGACCCUGACUUAUUUCUAACUUCCAAGGCACUGAGUGAAACCGGGCUGGCCCAUCACCACCCUGGGCACCGUGAGGAGACAAAGGAGCACUCGCCUCCGGGAGAGGAUGCCAUAGCCGCGGGCGCACCGGGGGCCACCUACGACGCGCAGAGCAAAGCUCCGGGUUCGAGGCCCAGCAGACACACAGCCCAGCUUACGUCUGUCGAGGCCACUUGAGGGAUUCUUCCAGAGACUGCCAGCCGUGCCCACUGCCUUGGGAUCGAGUCCGGCUACACGGCGGCUCCAAACACCGUUGCCCAGAUCUUUUAACCCCAUCCACAGGCACAGUCAGGCUGGCAGCCUGGCCCGGGAACGCUGUUUCAACGUCGGCCACCUCACGGCCCCGACGGUGGUUUUCCUUCGUCGUGAUCCACUCGCAAAGGCUCCUCUCCUUUCCCUGGUCAGUGGGGCUGCCUGGACCCUCCUGAAGGAAGGCGACCUUCUGAGGUGUCCCCUCAGAGGCCCCUCAAACAGGGCCCCUCAGAGGCUCCAAAGGGGUUUUCCUUGGCAAGCCCCCUAAUGGGUUCCAAGAUGGCUUCCCCUGGUGGCUCCCAAGAACGUCUGCCAAGAGGAAAGAAAACAAAUACAAUCUUUGGGGCAACUUCCCACUUCAGGAGCAAAGUUUAGAACACCGUAGGUUUGUCUCUGCUUUACCUCCUGCCUCCCUUCCAUCCAUGUCACCCUCCCCGCCCCACCCAGGCAGCUCUCUUCCUGCCAUAUCUCCUUGCCACCCCCCUACCCUCCACUCAUCUCUCCCCAUCUCUCCUUAAGCCCCUACAUUUCUCCUCCAAGUCUACCUUGGUUUCCCCUCUCCAUGGCCAUCCUCCCACUUGGCCUUAUAUCUCCUUUAAAAUUUUCAU